UUUUUUUUUUCCAUAAACAGAUUACACAUUCCUUUCUAUAUGAUGUUGCAGAUGAAAAACCCUAGAUCUAAUUCUAUAAUUUACCUUGCCGCUUCUUCUUUCAUUCGAUUCGUCGGCUUUUGUUUCAUCUAUUAGCGAUUCAUCUUAAAGUCGGAAAGCUGUAUAACCAGCAAUUUUUUUUAUUUUGGAUUUGUCGUGGCAUCGUUUUACAAAGAUUUGGAUGUAAAAGAUGCAGAAGUUUGUGUCCGAAGGAGCAUUAGUGUGGUAUAUCUCAUCUUCAGCUGCUUCUAGGAUAGAUGUUUUAUUAAUUUGUUAUACUGGUCUGGUAUAUCUUUCGAAAAAAAUAAUAUGAGCACUUUUUUACGUGUAAGUUGACCAGUGAUAUAAAUAGAUCUCUUUUUCUUUUGUUAUCUGUUUUUUAACAUCUCAUGGCGUGGUAUAGUAGAAAAUGUAUGAGGAGCUAUGGUCCAGCAGAAGGGAUAUUUUAAAGUUACCAAAGCAGAUUUGAGCCCCAAGGCUGGAGCUAAUGUUGUUUUAAUGACAAAGGGGAUUGAUGACAUGGCACUCAAGGUAUAAUUUAAACACUCCUUCAUGUCUUCUUUGUUGAGGCUGGUGCAAUUGCCGUUGACGCGCACAUAAGGAGGAUUUACACCAUCUGGCAAAGGGAAUUGCUGCAACUCUGAGUUGGGAAAGUUGGAGCUUUCUCCAAGUGAGAUACAGUUUUAAGUUACGAGGUCAAAGAGAGCUGUUUUUCAACCUGAAGAUAGUGAACUCUUUGAGCUUAAUUAGUAGGAAAAAUGUGAUAUAGUCAUAAAGCUCGAGACACAAUUCAACAUAAAUUUCCUAACAUAGUUGUUGAGUGCCACAAGUAUGGGUUAGAUAUAUAACCCGUGACUCGAUUCAUAUGGUUCCUGCUACUCAUUACCUGUGUGGUGGGGUUCAGGCUGUGCUUCAGUGGGAGUGGACUUUAUGUUCAGUUAUGUGGUGAUGACGCUUCUGAAGGUGUGUUUGUCGGGGCCUUUCUCUCCAUGUCAUCAACAGCAGUGGUUUUGAAGUUUCUGAUGGA
rnacentral:lncRNA from 1 species